AACGAACGCUGGCGGCAGGCUUAACACAUGCAAGUCGAACGGGCGUAGCAAUACGUCAGUGGCGGACGGGUGAGUAACACGUGGGAAUAUGCCUUUCGGUUCGGAACAACUCGGGGAAACCCGUGCUAAUUCCGGAUACGCCCUUACGGGGAAAGAUUUAUCGCCGAAAGAUUAGCCCGCGUUGGAUUAGCUAGUUGGUGAGGUAAAGGCUCACCAAGGCGACGAUCCAUAGCUGGUUUGAGAGAACGACCAGCCACACUGGGACUGAGACACGGCCCAGACUCCUACGGGAGGCAGCAGUGGGGAAUCUUGGACAAUGGGCGGCAAGCCUGAUCCAGCCAUGCCGCGUGAGUGAUGAAGGCCUUCGGUU
rnacentral:rRNA from 1 species